CUCUUUUUUCUUAGACCGUAGCAUUAAGUAUUUCUUGACGAGCUAUAAGGGCAGUCCCAACGGAGAGUUUCUAGUUGUAAAUUUCAAAAGAAAAAAAUAUCAAUUAAUGUCUUAUAGAAACUCUCUCUCUCUCUCUCUCAAUCCAAGGUUUCUACAACAUAGUUAAUACAAGAGAAAAAUUAAAUACACCACAAAAGAAGAGAUGAUCAGAUGUGGCAUCAACCAUGUAGUCUCC
rnacentral:lncRNA from 1 species